AAAGAAAGCGUAAUAGCUCACUGGUCGAGUCGGCCUGCGCGGAAGAUGUAACGGGGCUAAACCAUGCACCGAAGCUGCGGCAGCGACGCUUAGGCGUUGUUGGGUAGGGGAGCGUUCUGUAAGCCGUCGAAGGUGUGCUGUGAGGCAUGCUGGAGGUAUCAGAAGUGCGAAUGCUGACAUAAGUAACGAUAAAGCGGGUGAAAAGCCCGCUCGCCGGAAGACCAAGGGUUCCUGUCCAACGUUAAUCGGGGCAGGGUGAGUCGACCCCUAAGGC
rnacentral:rRNA from 1 species